AUUGGCGUUACUCCUAGGCAAGACCAAUCAGAAUGGCACAUCGGCCAAUGCUGAGGUCAAUAACUUUGGUUAAGCCCGAGAUCAAAGAGGUUGGGAUUAUUCGAGGUCGGAAUGAUCAAUAUUCUCUCCAUCAACACCUACAAAAGCCACUUUAAAAAAUAUGGAGAUUAAAAUUUUUACUCUUACUUUUUUCUAAAAAUAAUAAAAUUUAUCUAAAAAAAUAGAAAUCAAAUAACCAAAUAUAUUUUCUGCAUUGGAUUCUAUAUUUCUGUUUAAAAGAAAAAAUAGAAAAAAAAACAAAACUGGAUCUUAGCAUUUGUUUGGAUAGCUUUGAGAAUAUUCUGCAGGAAUUCUCUAGUAAAGGUCUGGAAGGUUCCAGCCCAUGGGUCUCUUGGUCAGCAAAAUAACAAUACGGUGAUCUAUUUUUUAUUCUUACCAGAUUGUUACUGCUGAUGUU
rnacentral:lncRNA from 1 species